rnacentral:lncRNA from 1 species
GAUGGAAAAGAAAUAUAAUACACUUGAGCAGAAUGUUGGGCUAGCAUAAAGGGGUCAUUGACAUAUGCUUUUGAUCUAUAUUUGAUUUCAAAAAGUCCAUGCCAUGGAUCAACCUUUAUACAAUUAUCGAUAUCAAACCAUUAGUACUUAAAUAGAAUGACACUAUUAUCACCUAAAGGGUAGGUCAACUUGAUCACUUCUUCGAGGAUCCCAUAGUAGUCACUCUC